rnacentral:tRNA from 1 species
UACCCCGUGGUGUAGCGGCAGCACAGGUGGUUUUGGUCCAUCUAGCCCUGGUUCGAAUCCAGGCGGGGUAG